UUCCAUAUAAAUUAUUGUUGAUAGGCAAUAAUGUAACCUACCAAGACAUUGGGGGCAAUUAGUAAGUUGUUAGGGCGUAAUCCAGCAGUCUCUGGAUAAAGUCGCUUUUCUUUUCCCCUGGUCUCAUUUUGUUGUCUGAAUGCUGGGCCCAUGAGCUUAUUUCUUCUAGGUGAUUUACUGCCCUAGUCAUUCUAUAUGAUAAUUCAAAAGAUAAGGCGGCAUAGCAUAACCUUUUCCUUGGUGGGGAUUUGUUUUCCAAGCACGCUGUAAAUAUAUAUCAUGACAGAUGUUUCACAAAGUCAGUUACAAGAUCAGUAUCUGCAGGAGGUUCUUUCCACUGUAGAAAGCAAGCAAGCAAGGGGCAGUUUUGGUAGAGGAUGUGCUACCAAUUUAUCAAAGCUUGGAGGCUCUGCUCGUUCUGCAGCUGAGAAGAAUGGAUAUGACUUGUUCUGGCUAUUAGUAUCUUCCCAAUGUUGGAGGAGGAGACCAGUCAGGAAAAGCUGCCAUAAACUGGAGAGUCUUGGCCAAUUUGAAAGAUCAUUUGGUUGAGUUGAAAUAACUGAAUUUUGGGCUGUUAGAUCAAAGAAGAGUAACUCAAUGCAAUUCAUAACUGUUGCAAUGUUCUUUUUUAUUUUUUGACUUUAGUUUUUACUUUCUGAUGUACUAGGAUGGAGAUCUUCUCUUUGUAAAUUUGAUUUGGCUGCUGGAUCAAGUUUCAUUUGUAUCCAUACAAAGAAGAACACACUGGCCGGCUUGAUUGUCUCCAUUUAAGUCCAGUAUAUUGGAACCUAAGAAAGAGUACUUUUGUUUU